AAUACACAAACAACUAGUUGAAGUAACUUUCUUGAAUAUUUUUUUUACUUGUUCACAAUCAGAUAAAAUCUUUAAAUCAAAAAUCAGCAAUUGGAAAAAUUACCAGAAAAUGGAAAGGAAUGGCAACAGAAGCUGUAUCAGAUGCCAGCAACUUCAUAAUCCAAUUCCCAAUGGAUCUUGAGGUUAAAACGAAAACCCUUGUGCUUGGAGCUUGCUUCCUACUGGAUUUCUUGUUUUUUGAACAAUCUGGACCAAGGCCCCGCGAUCAGAGAUAACCAGAUGUAUACCAUUUUUCCUGACUUCAGAAAAAAUUCAAUACUACUGCUUUUGUUUCUUAUCUAGCGGUUAAUCCAGUGGUGAGAUUCAAAAAUUUUCACUACAAGUUUGGUGGGCAUGGCUAGGUGGGUGCCAUGUGACUGAGUGGGUGUGACUAACAUGACAUCACUCAUGCCCAUUCCCACUAAGUCACAUGCCCCCUCACCUAGCCACACCCACAGGAAAAGGUAGGGACCUUUUUUGGAUUUUUAGGUAUCUACCCUGGCCCUCUCUUCACUAGUUACCCCAUUUCCCCAUUUCCUCCCCCCCCACCUCUUUGGUUGCUUACCAUUCAGGGUGGCUGGUCCAGUCCAGAAGGCAAGCUGACUGGAUUUUUUGGCACCCCCCCCCCCCCCCCCAGCCAGCCACCGCUGCUGGGAAGUGGCUGGCUGGCAAAGAAGCCUCCCACCUGCCGCCUCUUUGCAUACUGGCAGACUUGCAAGGCAAUGGGAUACGCAUGCACGAAGAAGAUGGUGGCAAUAGGAUCUGCUUUUUCGCUGACUGGUGGAUUUUUCAGCGGCCUGUGACCAGCUGCCGGCCUCUUUGAGAGCCAGUAUGCAAAGAAGCAACACAAGCGAGUGAUGAGCGGAUGGGCAAGGUGAGCAACUGGCAACAGGGGGAUUGGUUCGGGGGCAUGGCUAGCCAGCCAUUGCUACCAGUUCGCUGAACUGGGCAUAAUUUCUGCCACCAAUUUGGGCAAACUGGUGCGAACUGGCUGAAUACCACCUCCGGGUUAAUCUAUCACUUGCUUAUAUACAGUACCCUCAUAUUAUGCAAGCAAACAGAUUGUGGACUCUUAUGACACAAGAAGUGUUACUCUACAAUGGUGUUUCACAGCCCUGGCAACUUUAAAAUAUACGGAUUUCAACUCCCAGAAUUUUCCAGCCAUAUUACCUGAAGAAUUCUAUGAGUUGAAAUCCAUGCACCUUAAAGUUGCUAAGCUGAGAAACACUGCUUUAGAAUAUAUAAUAUAUUAUCAAGACUCUUUUACAACUGCUCAUAGUACUUCUAGAGGAACUCUAAUGAUAUUUCCAGAUGAAACAUCAUACAACUAACUAGAAACUAUAGAAAGAACAAUUUCCUUUUCUUUGGUGCCUUGAUGGAUAUCAACAUUUUAGAGUGGGAGAUGGAAAGUGGGGAGGGAGGGAUGGAGAGGAUUAUAUUUUAUAGCUGUCAAAAAUAAUGUAAGUGUAAACAAUUCAUUUUGGUUAAGUAUAAUUCAAAUAAAAAGCUGAAUAAUAAUAAUUCCACUGUAAUAUAUAUUGGCUUUCAAAUACUUGUAAGAUUCAAUAAAACAUUUCAGCACUUUUCUUUAUUCACUACAUGGGUGAAUAAAAAUAAACUGAUUUAAUGUA